rnacentral:rRNA from 1 species
GAUGAACGCUGGCGGCGUGCCUAAUACAUGCAAGUCGAGCGGUAAGGCCUCUUCGGAGGUACACGAGCGGCGGACGGCUGAGUAACGCGUAGGAACAUACCCCAAAGUGAGGGAUAACUGCUCGAAAGAGUAGCUAAUACCGCAUGUGAUCUAAGGAUUAAAGCUUCGGCGCUUUGGGAAUGGCCUGCGUAUGAUUAGUUUGUUGGUGAGGUAAUGGCUCACCAAGACUACGAUCAUUAGCUGGUCUGAGAGGAUGAUCAGCCAGACUGGGACUGAGACACGGCCCAGACUCCUACGGGAGGCAGCAGUAGGGAAUCUUCCACAAUGGGCGAAAGCCUGAUGGAGCAACGCCGCGUGCAGGAUGAAGGCCUUCGGGUUGUAAACUGCUUUUAUAUGCGAAGAUUAUGACGGUAGCAUAUGAAUAAGGAUCGGCUAACUCCGUGCCAGCCGCCGCAGUAA